rnacentral:lncRNA from 1 species
CUAAAUUGUUGAUGAUGGACUGGACAAGACACAAAAGUAAAACAUACUAUCGUAAUAUUAUUUUUGUUGUUUUUGCCUACAGAGUUGUAAAUUAUUGUUCACAUCGGCUGGAAUUUGUUUCGAUGCUUCGUGCUUCUCUUUGUGCUCCGAGUGAACGUGGUCAAACUUGUGUACUCUUCUGUAUUCCACACGUCUAUACGAG